rnacentral:tRNA from 2 species
AGAAAUUUAGGCUAAUAAGACCAAAAGCCUUCAAAGCUUUAAGCGAGAGUGAAAACCUCCCAAUUUCUG